UCUAAGACCGGACGUAAUUGUUCUAAGGAGGAGCCGAUCGGCCGGGGCGCGAAUUGAUGACGUAAUUAAUCUAUGCCAAUUCAGAAUUCACCCCAGCCCCUGCUCCAGGCUAAAGAGAUUAAACUGAAAGGUUUCUGAGCAUGCGUGGGUUUUGGCCACGACCGGCGGUUUGUAGUUGUUAAGAUUUCUUGUGGGAGUGAGUCCCACCCUUGAGCUUCCUCUGGAGCGGAGCUAACCCCCGCCCGGAGCCCCGUGGUCGUAGCUCAGGAUAUGGAGGGCUCCGGCUCUGGCAUUCGUAGACGGGUAUCUAUCCGCAAGAGGCGCCGCCGUAGCUUGGGGGAGACUGCGGCCACUGGUCGGCUGGAACCGGGCGAGGAUGAUGACGACGACGAAGAGGAGGCGACCGAGGGCAGGAGGCGACGCAGCGAGAGCCCGGAGCCCCCCGAGUAUGAUGGCAGUGAAGAGGACAUGUUUGGUGGUUAUGACAGUUUUACUGAAAACUCUUUUUUAACUCAUGUAGAUGAUUUAGAACAAAAAUAUAUGCAGCCUCUUGAUCGUGGAAUAAUUACCACACAACCUGCUUUUGAAAAACUUUGUUCAAGAAGUACAGAGACCAGAGAAUUUGAUAUUAUUGCUACUAACAGUAACUUGGUUGAAGUUAAAACACUGGAUUCUCCAGAGACUUUGAAUUUGCAAGAAAAUAUGACCAUCAAACCUGGAGAUGACCUUUUAGAUGAUGUACCAUGCUCACAGGCUUUAUAUUUUGAAGAAACAAAGAACUCUUCAAGUGAUUCGAAUUGCCAGUCUGCUAAAGAAAGUUAUCCUCUAUAUUCAUACCAAACUUUGAAUGAUAUAUCUAUGGAACAAACCCAGCAAAAGAAAAAUUCAUCUCCUAAAAGCACAGAAUCUGAUAUGAAUAGGAGAAGAAGCCUCAAAGAUCAUUUGAAAAGUGCCAUGACAGGAAAUGCCAAAGCCCAGACGCCUAAGUUUUCUAAGAGGAAUCAACUGAAAGAAGCUAUCCUAUCUGAAGAGAUUAAUGUUGCUAAAAAAACAAUUGAAUCUUCUUCUGAUGACCUAGGUCCUUUUUAUUCAUUACCCAGUAAAGUUAGAGACUUGUUUGUGCAAUUCAAGGGGAUUAAAAAAUUAUAUGAUUGGCAACAUACUUGUUUAACAUUAACAUGUCUACAGCAGAGAAAGAAUUUAAUAUAUUCACUGCCAACCAGUGGUGGGAAAACUCUUGUAGCUGAGAUUUUAAUGCUUCAAGAAUUGCUCUGUAGGCAGAAGAAUGUCUUGAUGAUUCUACCUUAUGUAGCUAUUGUCCAAGAAAAGAUUUCAAGCUUGUCAAGUUUCGGAUUGGAGUUGGGUUUUCUUGUUGAAGAAUAUGCAGGAAGCAAAGGAAGAUUUCCUCCAAUUAAAAGAAGAGGAAAAAAAUCUUUGUAUAUUGCUACUAUUGAAAAGGGACAUGGUCUGGUGAACUCAUUAAUCGAAGAUGGAAGAAUUAACGAAUUGGGUCUAGUUGUCAUAGAUGAGUUGCACAUGAUUGGUGAAGGAAGCCGAGGAGCUGUACUGGAAAUUACCCUAGCAAAAAUUCUUUAUAUGAGCAAAACUACUCAAAUUAUUGGCAUGAGUGCAACAUUAAAUAAUGUUGAAGAAUUACAAGAAUUCCUGAAAGCAGAAUAUUAUACUAGUAAAUUUAGACCGGUAGAAUUAAAAGAAUAUCUGAAAAUAAAUGAUACCAUCUUUGAAGUUGACAUCAAAUCAGAGAAAGGCUAUACUUUUUCUCGUCUACUAAAUUGCAAGUAUUCUGAUAAUCUCAAAAAGAUGGAUCCUGAUCAUUUAGUUGCUUUGGUGACUGAAGUUAUUCCUAGCUAUUCCUGCUUGGUUUUUUGCCCUACUAAGAAAAACUGUGAAAAUGUAGCAGAUAUGAUAUGCAAGUUUUUGAACAAGGACUAUCUAAAACACAGGGAAAAAGAAAAAUGUGAUUUCCUUAAAAACUUGAAGAAUAUCAGUAAUGGCAGCCUGUGUCCUGUUCUCAAGCGCACCGUUCCAUUCGGAGUUGCUUAUCACCAUAGUGGCCUUACUAAUGAUGAAAGGAAGAUCUUAGAGGAAGCUUAUGCCACAGGAGUCCUUUGCCUUCUAACUUGCACUUCAACUUUAGCAGCUGGAGUGAAUCUACCAGCACGAAGAGUUAUUUUGAGAGCACCCUAUAUUGCAACACAGUUUCUAAAGAGAAAUCAGUAUCAACAGAUGAUUGGCAGAGCUGGUCGAGCUGGAAUGGAUACUGUUGGUGAGAGUAUCCUUAUAUUACAAGAAAAAGACAAGCAUUUGGUACUAGAUUUAGUAAACAGCCCACUGGAAAACUGUUAUAGUCAUCUUGGACAAGAAGUCACAAAAGGAAUCGAAAGUUUACUCCUAUCACUGAUUGGGCUAAAGAUAGCAAAGAAUCUUGAAGAUAUAUAUCAUUUUAUGUGUGGUACAUUUUUUGGCAUUCAGCAAAAGAGUUUAUCCAAAGAAAAAAGCCUUUGGGAAAUAUCUAGGAAAGCACUGGAAAACCUAAUAGAAAAAGGACUCCUACAAAAAAAAAAUAUUUCUAAGAAUGCAGAAGAGUCCCAGUGUGAUAUACAUAUCACAAAAUUAGGGCAAGCAUCUUUAAAAGGAACUUUGGACUUGGCUUACUGUGGAAUUCUUUACAAAGACUUAAAGAAAGGUCUUGAAGGACUUGUACUUGAAAGCUACCUUCAUCUAAUCUAUCUAACAACUCCAUAUGAUAUGGUUUCUCAGUGUAGGCCAGAUUGGAUGCUAUAUCUCAGACAGCUUAACCACCUCAGUUCAGCAGAACAAAAAGUAGCAGCAAUUGUUGGAGUAUCUGAAAGCUUUAUCAUAAAGAAAGCCUCAGGUCAAGCUAUUAAAAAGGAUGUGGACAAGGAUGUUGUCAACAGGUUCUAUCUCUCCUUUGUACUUUAUGCAUUGCUCAAAGAAACCAAUGUCUGGAGUGUGUCAGAAAAAUUUAAUAUGUCUCGAGGAUAUGUACAAAACCUUUUAACUGGUGCUGCCUCAUUCUCCUCUUGUAUACUACAUUUCUGUGAGGAGCUAGAGGAGUUUUGGGUUUACAGAGCUCUCUUGACAGAACUUACCAAGAAGCUGUCUUACUGCGUGAGGGCAGACCUGGUCCCUCUCAUGGAAGUAACUGGAAUUUUACAGUCUCGAGCAAAACAGUUAUAUAAUGCGGGUUAUAAAACUGUUGCACAUUUAGCUAAUGCAGAUCCUGAAGUGCUGAUAAGAACUAUUAAUCAUUUAUCACGACGUCAGGCCAAACAAAUUGUUUCCUCAGCAAAGGGCAUCUCAUCCAUCCAAGGAUCAUGGAGAGGUAUGGCUCCCCAGAGAGUGCCCAACAAGGUCAGAGGUGUUAUACUACCCCCAAGUGUGGGUGGCUGCAAAAACAAGGAGGAUUUGCUAAGACUUGGCACACACGCUGGUUUGUACUCAAGGGAGACCAGCUCUACUAUUUCAAGGAUAAAGAUGAAACACGACCAUUGGGUACCAUUUUACUGCCUGGGAACAAAGUUGUAGAGCAUCCCUACAAUGAAGAGAGCCCUGGACAGUUCCUUUUUGAAGUAAUUCCAGGACCAGACUGUGUGAUUGCUAAUUGCAGUGUCUGGUUAACUACAUUUGUAAGAGCCUGUUUCCAUGGAUAGCUACAGAACUGAAUGAGGAGCCAGGAAUGCCUAGGCUGAUGUAUGAUGCCCCUGGAAGCC